rnacentral:rRNA from 1 species
AUUGAACGCUGGCGGCAGGCCUAACACAUGCAAGUCGAACGCGUGGCGGACGGGGGAGUAAUGUCUGGGAAACUGCCCGAUGGAGGGGGAUAACUACUGGAAAAGGUAGCUAAUACCGCAUACCAUCGGAUGUGCCCAGAUGGGAUUAGCUAGUAGGUGGGGUAACGGCUCACCUAGGCGACGAUCCCCAGCUGGUCUGAGAGUAUGACCAGCCACACUGGGACUGGGACACGGUCCAGACUCCUACGGGAGGCAGCAGUGGGGAAUAUUGCACAAUGGGCGCAAGCCUGAUGCAGCCAUGCCGCGUGUAUGAAGAAGGCCUUCGGGUUGUAAAGUACUUUCAGUGAGGAGGCGUUACUCGCAGAAGAAGCACCGGCUAACUCCGUGCCAGCAGCCGCGGUAAUUC